UUCCUGAGCUGUGGGCUUGAGAAAUUCAUUUUGCCUCCUGGAGCCUCUGAACCACCCCCCGCCAAGUGGAGAUGACAGCAUAAGCCCCCAGCAGAGCAGCCUGCUCGAGAAACACUCUGUGCCUGAAUCGGAUGGAAUCAAGACGGCAGCUCUUGAUGCCCAGGUGGUUGCACACAAAGUCAGGGGAGCACAGAUCUCCCUUUCUGCCUUUGUACAGGGCGAGCAGCACGGUGAUGGCCCGGGUCCCCUGUCCUCACACGGUGUGAAAAGAAGCAGCACGCCAGCAUGGCGUUACUUGCGGGGGGCCUUGAUAUACUAUGCCUAGUGUGGUGCACACGCAGGAAGUGACCCGUGUCCGCAGAGCAACGGCAGAGAAUUCGCACCAUCAACUGAGAGGAAUUAAAUACAUGAAGAAGCGACAUAGUGAGGUGUGGGUGAGUAGUAGGAGCUAGUGAGGGAGAGGAGAGAGCCCAGGCACUGUCACCAGCAGGACCUGUUCCCACCCAUAACCAAAGAGACGCCUGCGAGAAUUCAGCAAAGGAAUCUGGCAGUGCAGCCUGCGCCCGUCAGCCUCCAGGGGCAAGAAGCAGGCAGAGGAUACAUCCGAGGGGCAAAAAGAAAAUGACCAGCACAGGCUCCUCAUAUUAUUCCAUCUGUUCUCUUACUCAGACUCAUUAGC